GCACUGUAUGAGCCCUUGGAUGGACAAGGGGGUAGAGAAUCCUAGAAUGCUUAGUAUAACCAGUUGGGCAUCCCCUUCAAAAAUGACUUUAGAGAAAUGCUUCUCUACAAACCAUGCUUUCCAAGAUUUUUGCAUAUCCAUCCCGUUAGUUGCCCUUGAGAAUUCCUUGCAACAGCUGCUAUUGAACCCAUGUUGUCAUGCUUGCUAACCCCUGCAUCAAAG
rnacentral:misc_RNA from 1 species